CCACUUUCAUGGGUAUUUAUAUUGUGUGAUCGUUCCCCACCUGCGGCUACUUGUUUUUUCAUCCACUUUCAUUUCCAUUAAUUUAUCGUUUCUUUAUUAAGCACAUGUAAUUUCCCCUAUGUUGUCCUUGGUGUCAGUGUUUGUUGCCUUCUUAUGAGGUUGUCUACUAGCGUUGCUUGUGUAAAGAGUCCCUGGUGGUACCAUAGUGGCUUCAGAGACACAGUGCAGCCAGAGCGCCGGCAUCAACAAAUCACACGAGUGCAAUGUGUGCGGGCAUCAUUUCAUGCUCAUGGCCACUCAAUGGGGGAUGAUUGAGAAACCCCUCAGUUUCAGGCAACAAAAACUCUCCAAAGGGCAUCUGAACCUCAGUUCAAUUCCACACAAGAGCAGGUGCCAUUGCAAUGCUUGAGGGAAACCAAGCGUCAUGUAGCUGCACCCAACUGUGCUUUGCGCAUAAUGGCAGCGGCAGAGAGACAGCAAUGAAGAAGCAAAGUGGACUGAGCAGCCACGUGUGACAGUGUUCAGUGUUUAAGGAGGCAACCAGACUCGUACUAUUCCUGUGGCCAGAAUCCAGCAUCUGACUGCAGCUGUCAUGUUGUCUUAUUGGUGGGCUGCUGAUAUAGUGUGGAGCUGCCAUGUACAUACAAGUUUCAGUGUUUUUGGAAUUGAAACACAGAGGAAAGUGAUGUUUGCUUUGAAGGCAAGCUGAACUCCACUACGUUGAAGUGCUGUGCCUGCAAAGGAGACAAAGGAGGGUAAAAAAAAACCAGGUGCUGAGACUCAAUGACAGAACAUUCCUUUAUGACUUUUACAGCAAGCAUCACAGCAUAGGGUCAUGCAUGCGUAUAUUUGCCAGAACCUUUGAUGAUUGGGUGCAAACCGUAUUCCACACUUAAAAUGUAAUAUGCCUGACAUGUUAACCUGUUGAUGAGGAGUACACAAGUGUUUCUGCAGAGACUACCUAAUUCUGAAAAACAGCGCAGUAGAGGCAUGGAAACUUCUUUUUUUUUUUCAGUGAUGCUAUAAUUGCACUUGUGGACAUUACACACUGUAUGAUAAAUGCUUACUAUAUUAUUGAACAUGUGGUAUCGUGACGUUGUAGUGACGGUGGACAUGUGCCAAUAUGUAAUUGACAUUCAAUUAAUUACUUUGAAGGUAAAAUGCCACAAUUGCUGUUUGAAGCCAGUCAGUGCUGCAGGCAUGUCCCUUUAGUAGGUACUCUGAGAUUACAAGAUUGGACGUGAGCUUUGAACUUGCGCAGUAGCUAUGGCCUUUUGCUGCUCAGCAUAUGGUUGAGGGUUCGAUUCCUGGAAGUGGUGGUCAUAUUUUACUAAGAAAGUGGGGGGAGGACUGUAGAAACACUCGUGUAUCAAGCUUAGGACGCAUGCUUAAGAAAUGCCUGGUGCUUAAAAUUAUUCCAGAGCCCUCCGCUACAACAGCUGCUGAAUUUCUUUAGAACAUUGAACUCCAUUAGUCAAUCAGUCCACGUAUUUGCACUGAAAUACAUUCGUGUAGUGUCACAUUUAUUGUUUGACUAAAAAAAAUUUACCUUAGGCACUGCAGAACAAAACAGUGUUUAAUGCACACGCUUUGUAUUUUGCGAAUGUUUUAAGGAUAGAUAUUUUGGGACUGUUGGUAAUCUUGGCACCCCUAGUAGGUGGACAUGCCUUGAGCACUAACUAACUUCUAUUCAGCAGGUGCAAGCUGUUCUUUAAAGCAUAUAAAAAAAAGUAAUUAGUGAGCCUUAUUUAAAUAGUUAACCAGUGAUUAUCACACAGGUUUUGAUGUCUGCAGGUUUAAAUAAAGUGUUGCUAAAAGAUGCUG